UGAAACCAUUAAUAAAGUAUGUGAUCUCAAGUUUUUCUGAAGAAGAAAGGGGAAAAAAAAACACACAACUGUUAUGGGAAUCAGGUGGGGACCUGGGCAUUCACUCUGGGUCUCCGUGCAAGCCACCAAGUUGCAGAUGCCAUUAUGAUGCCAUUCUGACUUCCCUGGGCAGAUGACCUCACCAAUCUGUCCCCAAAUCUCACCACUCCAGAGCCCUACUCUAGUAGGGAAAGAUAGAAACAAGCUUGGGGGUAUGGGCCAAUCUGCCAACACCCAUGUCCAACGGAAAAGCAAUUACAGAAGCCAGACCUUCCACCUUCUGUACCCCAUAGAGACUUUUGGUCCAGACUCCCAGAGGGAUAAAAAAUAGGGAAGCUUCCAAUGGAGGGGAUGGGGCAUGGGACUCUGCUGGUGGGCACUGUGUGGCAU